CGGAGGAUCCAAGCGUUUAUCCGGAAUCAUUGGGUUUAAAGGGUCCGUAGGCGGUUUAGUAAGUCAGUGGUGAAAGCCCCAUCGCUCAACGGUGGAACGGCCAUUGAUACUGCUAGACUUGAAUUAUUAGGAAGUAACUAGAAUAUGUAGUGUAGCGGUGAAAUGCUUAGAGAUUACAUGGAAUACCAAUUGCGAAGGCAGGUUACUACUAAUGGAUUGACGCUGAUGGACGAAAGCGUGGGUAGCGAACAGGAUUAGAUACCCUGGUAGUCCACGCCGUAAACGAUGGAUACUAGCUGUUGGGAGCGAUCUCAGUGGCUAAGCGAAAGUGAUAAGUAUCCCACCUGGGGAGUACGUUCGCAAGAAUG
rnacentral:rRNA from 1 species